GGGGUUAAGUGACUUGCUCAGGGUCACUUAGGUAAUAAGUGUCAAAUGUUUGAGGUUGGAUUUGAGCUCAGAUCCUCCUGACUCCAGAGCUAGUUCUCUAUCCACUUCUCAACCUAGCUUCCCCCAUUUUUUUUUUAACAAAUUAACCUUGCUUGGCAUUCUAAAGACCCAGAAGUCAGACUUGCCAUGACCAGGAGAGAAGACUAAUGCCAGAGAUGAUGGCCAUCUGUGGGUCUACGAAAGGAGGAACAGAUUCCCAGAAUUAGGGUUAGCCCAGGGCUUGAAGACCACUGCCUACCUGCUGGGAAAUGCCAGGACCCGACCAGCCUGCAUAAAAAUGGCCCAUGCCUGUGGGAAACCUCAUCU
rnacentral:lncRNA from 1 species